GAGAAAUCAGGAUCUGAUCCCAGGAAUUUAGGAAUCAGAAUUUCAGCCAUUCUGUUGUCUGUGAUGUUGUUGGUGGCCUGUGUUACUGCACUCAUUUUUGUCUGGUAUAGAAAGAAAUCUCAGAGCAGUCAGUCACACAGGCAGGUUGAGAUGAAUGUUAUACCUACCUGAAUCUACAAUGAGAAAUAAAGGGGACUCAAACAUCUUCAGGUAAACACCGUGACAAGUGGGUACCUGCUGACACCAAAUGAUGAUCUGGGUCAUCAUGUGGUGGUGAUGAACAGCAACAAAACUACAUAAUGAAAAAUCUUUACUUUUUUUGUUUACUUAUUUUUUCAAGAAGAGUGUGUUACCUAAAACAACGGUGCUAAAAUUUGACAAAUAACUGCAUUAAAGUUGUACUAAAGAAAAUGUCAAAUGUUACAUUUACAUUGACAGUUAAAAUUGUUACAAUUCAAUUUUUUUAUAAUCCUCUGCGCUAUAUACGGUAUUUAUAGCACAUGUAUUUUUAUUUUAUUUUAUUUUUCAACAGUCUUAAAUGUUGUUAUUCCUUUUUACAUUUAGAAACAUGUAACCAUGUUCUUCCUUAGCAGAAUAGCACAAAAGUUCAAUAAGCACUGAAAUGUGUUGCACUGAAACAUUUGCAAACCAUUAAAUAAUAUUAUUGUCCUGUACAUUUCCAUUUUCAUGUACUUGAUGCUAUCUAAUUUUUACACUGUUUUUUAAAUAUUUGAAAAAAAAAUUGAA